rnacentral:rRNA from 1 species
GGCGGACGGGUGAGUAAUGCCUGGGAAAUUGCCCUGAUGUGGGGGAUAACCAUUGGAAACGAUGGCUAAUACCGCAUGAUGCCUACGGGCCAAAGAGGGGGACCUUCGGGCCUCUCGCGUCAGGAUAUGCCCAGGUGGGAUUAGCUAGUUGGUGAGGUAAGGGCUCACCAAGGCGACGAUCCCUAGCUGGUCUGAGAGGAUGAUCAGCCACACUGGAACUGAGACACGGUCCAGACUCCUACGGGAGGCAGCAGUGGGGAAUAUUGCACAAUGGGCGCAAGCCUGAUGCAGCCAUGCCGCGUGUAUGAAGAAGGCCUUCGGGUUGUAAAGUACUUUCAGUCGUGAGGAAGGGGGUAUCGUUAAUAGCGGUAUUCUUUGACGUUAGCGACAGAAGAAGCACCGGCUAACUCCGUGCCAGCAGCCGCGGUAAUACGGAGGGUGCGAGCGUUAAUCGGAAUUACUGGGCGUAAAGCGCAU